UGCGGCAUAGCUCAGUGGGUAAAGCGCCAACUGGGAGGUGGCGAUUACAACGAGAGCUAUUUUCCUCGCGGGUUCGAAUCCUGCCUGUGGCAU